rnacentral:rRNA from 1 species
AUACGACCAUAGGGUGUGGAGAACAGGGCUUCCCGUCCGCUCAGCCGUACUUAAGCCACACGCCGGGAGGUUAGUAGUUGGGUGGGUGACCACCAGCGAAUCCCUUCUGUUGUAU